GGCUUAAUACAUGCAAGUCGAGGGACAGCACAGGUAGCAAUACUGGGUGGUAACCGGCAAACGGGUGCGGAACACGUACACAACCUUCCUUUAGGUGGGGAAUAGCCCAGAGAAAUUUGGAUUAAUACCCCGUAACACAACGAAGUGGCAUCACUUUGUUGUUAUAGCUACGGCGCUUAAUGAUGGGUGUGCGUUUGAUUAGAUAGUUGGCGAGGUAACGGCUCACCAAGUCUGCGAUCAAUAGCUGAUGUGAGAGCAUGAUCAGCCACACGGGCACUGAGACACGGGCCCGACUCCUACGGGAGGCAGCAGUAAGGAAUAUUGGUCAAUGGACGCAAGUCUGGACCAGCCAUGCCGCGUGAAGGAUUAAGGUCCUCUGGAAUGUAAACUUC
rnacentral:rRNA from 1 species